rnacentral:rRNA from 1 species
AUUGAACGCUGGCGGAAUGCCUAACACAUGCAAGUCGAGCGGGGGUAGCAAUACUUCAGCGGCGGACGGGUGAGGAACACAUAGGAAUCUGCCUUUAGGCGGGGGAUAGCCAGGGGAACCUCUGGGUAAUACAGCACGACCUCGGGAGAGCAAAGGGGCGCAAGUCUCGCCUUUAGAGGAGCCUAUGUCUGAUAACAUAGUUAACGAUGUAAUGGACCACCAAGGCGAUGAUCAGUAACUGGUCUGGGAGGACGAUCAGUCACACCGGAACUGAGACACGGUCCGGACUCCUACGGGAGGCAGCAGUGGGGAAUAUUGGACAAUGGGCGAAGGCCUGAUCCAGCAAUUCCGCGUGUGUGAAGAAGGCCUUCGGGUUGUAAAGCACUUUAGUUGGGGAAGAAACAGCUUGGCAACACCAAGCCUUGACGGUACCCAAAGAAUAAGCACCGGCAAACUUCGUGCCAGCCGCCGCGGUAACAC